UAAUGGCUACAUUGGAGUUGGCAACACUCGCAUCAGCGGGAGGGUCGUCGACUGGAUCACCCGGUGGCAUGAUGUUUAAUGGUACCCCAUUGUUGGGAUUCUCGUUGUGGUUGUUGUUAUUCGCAUUGUUCGCGGUCGAAAUGUCGAAGUUAACCUGAAAUCACAAAAAAAAAAAAAAAAGGCAAAAGAGCAAGUGAAAGCUAAGUUGCAAACAAAUCACUGCUAUUAUCCUUAGCCCCAUGGUGGGCGCCAAAAUGUUUACCCCCUAAAAAGGUAACAAUUAAAUUUGUAUGUGGUUUAAGGAUAUGCGACUUGAUUCGUUUAUAGAGCGUAAGAAUAGCAAUAACGAAAUAAAGAUCGGGAAUAAGGAAGGUAAGAGAUAGCCUAAGUGAAUAUUGCGAUGAUGGCACGGACUGAGGCCCAAACAGUUCAAACCAAUUUGUGAGAAUUCUAUUAACUUUGAUGCUUACAAAACUAUUAAGAAUUAGGGUUUAGUGUAUUUGUGUGGAAGACAGUAAAAAACCAGAUGCCCCUCCUAUGAAGAUUUACUCUCUUAUUUAUAGUACAAGUACUGUAUUUGACAUGGUAACUGAAUCAAUUAUGGAUGAUGCUCCCCCAAAUCUCGGGCAUGACAGCUGCAUGACGCGUCCUACGGAGUGAAAUCCGCAACGGGCCAGUCUUCUCGGACCUUCAUCAGCUGGAAAGAAACUCUUCGGGCUCUGCUGGGUCCGAGUGACUGAAUCCGAACUGCUCCUUCUUGGCUGGUCGAGCCCAACUAAUCUAGUGCUCCUCAUUCUUAGUCCGAAUCUUCAGGCGUUGGGUCUAGAACAUUGACCUCGAUUUUUACCUUAUAAAAAGCAGAUAAACAUGAUUCUUCCCAAGAAUCCAAAGAUGAGUCCAAACAUAAAAAAAAAUCACAUAAGGAUGAGAAAACUACAAAAGGGGGAUUUAGCGACAAUUAUUUAGUGGCCAUACGCUAAUUGCCGGUACUUUAAUUCAUUAACUCAAUUAGCAGCUUCAAAUGUAGUUUAGCCUUGAAAACUAUGCGAUUACCGUCAAUUAAAAUGAAAUGGCUUGCAAAAAUUAUACUUACGCGAUACUGGGAAGAAAUUUUCAUUAUUUCAUUUUCCCUCCACUUCCUUUUGUGAAAAAAGAGCCGCUCUUCAUUCAACAAAAAGAUUUGCAAAACACCCUCCAAGGAAGAAGAACCCUAAUUCUCCACCAUGCCCAACUAUUCUUUCACCCCCACCAUCUCAAGAUACCAUUAUGGUAUAGCCCAACUCUCUACUCUUGUUCUCUCUCUCUAGAACUUCCUUGAAAUGAUGGAUCUGAGCAGUUGUAGACCCGUCGGCCGUUGUCCCGUUGAUAUUCAUACAAUCGUCUCGCAACUGUCGCGGUUAUACGAUCUGAUGUUCAAAAUUUUUGCUGUGGAAGAUUUUAAUACGAUGAAGAGUUGCGGAAAUUAUUUGAAGACAUUAUUCGAUAGGAUUGGUUAUAUUAGUUCAAACAAUAUAAGUUAUCUUUUAAGUUGUGACAUUAAUAUUUUGGAUUAGUACUUCCUUUUGGUUGCUUUGAUUCAACGAGAUAUAUUCUGUUUUAUGAA